rnacentral:rRNA from 1 species
GCCCCGGUAAACGGCGGCCGUAACUAUAACGGUCCUAAGGUAGCGAAAUUCCUUGUCGGGUAAGUUCCGACCUGCACGAAUGGCGUAAUGAUGGCCAGGCUGUCUCCACCCGAGACUCAGUGAAAUUGAACUCGCUGUGAAGAUGCAGUGUACCCGCGGCAAGACGGAAAGACCCCGUGAACCUUUACUAUAGCUUGACACUGAACAUUGAGCCUUGAUGUGUAGGAUAGGUGGGAGGCUUUGAAGUGUGGACGCCAGUCUGCAUGGAGCCGACCUUGAAAUACCACCCUUUA